GACGAACGCUGGCGGCGUGCUUAACACAUGCAAGUCGAACGCUGAAGACCUGGCUUUUGUUGGGUUGGAUGAGUGGCGAACGGGUGAGUAACACGUGAGUAACCUGCCCUCUUCUUUGGGAUAACGCCCGGAAACGGGUGCUAAUACUGGAUAUUCACUGAUCUUCGCAUGGGGGUUGGUGGAAAGGUUUGUUCUGGUGGGGGAUGGGCUCGCGGCCUAUCAGCUUGUUGGUGGGGUGAUGGCCUACCAAGGCUUUGACGGGUAGCCGGCCUGAGAGGGUGACCGGUCACAUUGGGACUGAGAUACGGCCCAGACUCCUACGGGAGGCAGCAGUGGGGCAUAUUGCACAAUGGGCGAAAGCCUGAUGCAGCGACGCCGCGUGAGGGAUGGAGGCCUUCGGGUUGGAAACCUCUUUCGCGCAUGGUCAAGCCGCAACUGUGGGUUGUGGUGAGGGUAGUGGGUAAAGAAGCGCCGGCUAACUACGUG
rnacentral:rRNA from 1 species